rnacentral:piRNA from 1 species
UGGCAAAGGAAGACCUUUUGCGGGUGAAG